GGACUUCCUCCGUAUUCUCCAAGACAUAUAGAUGUGCAUGGUUUAACAAGUCCCGAUCAACAAAGCUUACUGUGCAACCUGAUAAUGGCUUCGAAACUCCCAUCUUCUGGCUUGAAGGCACUCCAACUAUACUAACAUCAGAUAAAUGCUCAGUGCAAAACUCUACAGCUUCUUCAGCUAUAUACCGCUUAGCAAUGCAACCUUCCGG
rnacentral:lncRNA from 1 species